AGUGAACGCUGGCGGUAGGCCUAACACAUGCAAGUCGAACGGCAGCACAGUAAGAGCUUGCUCUUACGGGUGGCGAGUGGCGGACGGGUGAGGAAUACAUCGGAAUCUACUUUUUCGUGGGGGAUAACGUAGGGAAACUUACGCUAAUACCGCAUACGACCUACGGGUGAAAGCAGGGGAUCUUCGGACCUUUCGCGAUUGAAUGAGCCGAUGUCGGAUUAGCUAGUUGGCUGGGUAAAGGCCCACCAAGGCGACGAUCCGUAGCUGGUCUGAGAGGAUGAUCAGCCACACUGGAACUGAGACACGGUCCAGACUCCUACGGGAGGCAGCAGUGGGGAAUCUUGGACAAUGGGCGCAAGCCUGAUCCAGCCAUACCGCGUGGGUGAAGAAGGCCUUCGGGUUGUAAAGCCCUUUUGUUGGGAAAGAAAAGCAGCAGGUUAAUACCCCGCUGUUCUGACGGUACCCAAAGAAUAAGCACCGGCUAACUUCGUG
rnacentral:rRNA from 1 species